rnacentral:rRNA from 1 species
UACAGAGGUCUCGAGCGUUGUCCGGAGUUACUGGGCGUAAAGGGUGCGCAGGCGGCCUGGCGCGUCGCGAGUGAAAUCUCCUGGCUCAACUGGGAGGGUGGUCGCGAGACGGCUGGGCUUGAGGCUCGGUGAGGGGCGUGGAAUUCCGGGUGGAGCGGUGAAAUGCGUAGAGAUCCGGAGGAACACCGACGGCGUAGGCAGCGCCCUAGACGAGACCUGACGCUCAGGCACGAAAGCGCGGGGAGCGAACAGG